GUUUAUUUUAAUAAUAUUAAUAUAGUAUUUCCCUUUUCGGUUUCACAACGUCGAUGGUGACGAUGAGCUUCGUGAACUCUCCGACGAUGGAGCCCUCGCAACCUCAUAAUCCCCACGAAUACUCAUCCUCUUCCACAAUUAUCACCUUCCAACGCCCAAUUCCUCUUCUUCGUGGCCCCGUUCGAGCUAGUCAAUCUGAAAAUCCCUCCGCAGGUCCAUACUUGCUUGCAUUUAGGGAUCGCCAAGCUUGGGAAUCUGCUUUCAGAGCAUGCGAGUCCAAGAUUAUCGAACAAUGCGAGGUCGGGGCCAGAAUCGGUUGCUCAAUAACUGCUUCCAACAAGUGCAAGCCGCCCUGGUGGGGAUUUUUGUUACGGUCGAAGAAAGGGUUGGAUUUGAAGGAGAGGGAGCAGUGCGAAGAGCUGGAAAUGGAGGCUUGUUUGGCUGUCGCUAAGGAGAAGUGUGUUGGUUUUGCGAAGGAGAAGUGUUAUAAACCAUUUAUGGAAGCUAGAGUUGUAGGGGGGAGGAAGUUAACAGAGAAGUAAGUGAAGAUGUGGGUUUGUUAGCCUUCAAUAGCUAAUAAUGAUUUUGUUAUCCCUUUAAUUGACAUUAGAAGAAACCUCUCUGGAGUUGGUCUUGGGGAGACGAAUUAUCGAUCUAGUGAAUUAUUCUAGACAACUAUUUCUUUUUUCUGGAAUUGGUGUUGGUGAUGGUGAUUCGGAAUUUUUCGAUGGGCCUGAUCAGUGAACGAGUAAGUAUUGGUUCAAAGUUACAAUCGAAGAUGGAGAAUUUAGAGGCAAGUUCCUUGCUUCUACUUUAUAAUUGGAAAUAUAUGUUCGUACGGCCAUACUUGUUCCUGAUCCACAAAUCCGGAUAAUCAAACAUGAUUAAGACUAAUACUGAGAAAAAAAAAAGAUGGAGGAAAUGGGAUGAAAAGGUGAGUUGCCCUUAUUAAAGCAAGACUGAAAAUGCUAUGGUUGGAGGCCAACCCAACAAUUAUAGCUGUAUACUGUUCAAAAGUGGAACAUAGGUUUUCUCGAGUCCUUCAUUCAGACAAAGCCUAAAAUUACAAACAUUUACAACUGUUCAUGUUUGGGAAUAAUGGAAUAUAAAAUCCCCCCAACAACAUGGAAACAGUAUUCAUUUAUAUUUUUUUAGUGCUUUCACCGAAUAAAACAGAAAUAACCUAUUAGUAUAAAGUAUUCGAAUCACCAUCCCUCAGGGGCUUUCAACUUUUUAGAUGAUAGAUAAGAUGUGGAGUAAUAAUGCCUCCAAUUUCAUGAAAAUAAAUUAAUGAACCGAAUUCUUGAUUCCAAUUCGAUUAAAAAUUUCGUAUGUAUGCAUCAUAUUUUAGAGAAAAAUAAUAAAUAAAAGGUGAGUAGAACUUCAAAGCAAUAAGCAUAGAGAACAUUGAACAAGAUCUCAAAAGCACCAAAACCUCUUUGGAUAAGAGAAAUUCUGUCACUCAAAACCCUAACAAUAACAUCAGUCGAGAGAUUCCCACAACAGAGAGCCAAGCAUUUAUUCCACUUGGAUUUGCAAGUGCAGAUUGCUUCCUACCCCCAUUUCUAGUCAAAUCUCAAGAAUCUCCGUUCCUCUCUCCCACAAACCCUUUCUAGAAAUAUGUAUAUUACUAUCCAUGACACGAUCAAAUUAAGCCAACCUGCAAGACAAGAGAGAAAAAAAAGUGUCCUUUUUCCUAUACAGGAAGUUGUUAAAAGUGAGUUGGAUGAAACACAACUAGAAGUAAUGAAAAGAGCCUCAGUUUACUAAAGAUUUAACAUCCUGCGUGGUAUCCAAAUGUUGCAAGGAUCCUGUGAGAUAAGUCGAUAAAAAAAUGAAAAAAAGAAGUGAAAAGUGUUUGCCCAUAAAUGGCUGAUUAAUGUAGAAGAAUUUGCUAAAAUAAAUUGAACUCUGUAAGAAAGAAGUAAUGGGGUAGUGGUUUAAACUAGUAAAAUUGAAGCUUUGCAGCCAAGGAGCCAUUUGGUAGGGUUGGAAUGAGAAAAUAGAAAGUGGGUUAGGCUUCAAUAAUAGAAAGAAGAAGAGGAAUAUUGGAAUGAGGGGUUUAGUUAAAUUUUCUCGUGAUACCAUCAAAAGGUGAAGCUACCAUAUGAUCUGAUCUUUCCUUGGCUUGUGUGAAGAGCAAGAAGAAGUUUAGAUCAUGCUGGCAGCUUCAACUGCUGGUGAUUCACGGCAAAAUGAGAGGGAGAGAAAAAGAGAGAGAGUGUAUUAUAAUUUGAAGGAAGAUGAAGGGAUAUAAAUAGAGGAAGAAAGUAAAGCAUUGUCUCAAUUUUUGUUGUUGAAUUAUGUUAUUGUAAGGUUUGGAAAAAAAGGUGAUGAAUAUGAUAAACUAAAUAAUGAACAAAAGAGAAGAACCAGAUGGCAGGUUGAGAGUGGUCCAAAGGUAAGACAAAAUUGAAUAUUGUGAAGCCCCACGCGAUUCACCAGCAGACAAGAAAAAGAUCAAGAAAACAGAACACGAAGGGAGCAGUGUCUCUUGGGGACCAUGUGCAUGGCUUCUAACAAACUUUCGGAGAAAGAAAGACUCAGAGCAUCUUAAACCAGCCAAAUCAUGCAUGUGACUCUCUCUCUCUCUCUCUCUCUCUCUCUCUCUCUCUCUCUCUCUACUUUGUUGGUUUCUGUUUUAUAUAUUUCUUGUUGGGUAUUUUCUUAGUGGUGAGUGAGAUCUAUACCCUUUUUUCUCUUUUAUGUCCGUGAGCCUUCAACCUCAGUUGAAGUUGGUGGGAUGGGCUAUAUUUGAGGUUACUAAUCCAAUAGUGGUGUUUACAACUAUAUAUAACAUACAAUUAACUAAAAUAAUACUAUUUGAAAUUUCUUUCGGUUAAUAGUGUUUACCAUUUUCUAUCUAGAUUAUAGUAAUGUGUAUCCCAAAUACAAAAUAUUCUAACCACUGAGGAUAAUAACCAACUCCAUGUCCUAAAUAUCCUCUUAAAUAUUAAAUUGACUAAUCUCAUCAAACAACUUGGACUGACAGUAAAUGUACAACAUUUGAGUGCUAAGUAACUUAUAGGCAAGAACAUGUGAACUAAGGCUAGGAGAUGAUUAUGGAUCAAAGGUAUGGAAUUGAGGACGCAAGGCGAAGGCAUAUUAGGCUUAAUGAUGACUAAAAACUAUUGAACAAUUGGGAAAUAGCACUGAACGAGCAAAGGUUAAAAGCCUCUUUUACUCAAAAGAUACCGAUACGAUGUGUUAUGACAAGUAUAUGGAUGGGGGAUGUUGAAAGAAAAAAAGAUCCACUUGGUUUUAGACUUGGGUGCAGUCCAAGAGCAUCAUUCUCUUUGGUUUGCACACUCCAAAAAAUAUAUUUUGAAGGUUUAUGAAAAGAUCCUAAAAACUUGCUCUUCGAUCUCAAAAAUUAUCUCCAUGAUUCUUUUAACAUUUUCAUCUUUCUACCAUUUCAUCUUACUAUGUACACUACCUGUUCUGACAGAUAUUUUCAGGGGCCCAACUCAUAAAAACCGAAGGGGAUUUUAACAUAAAAGAUCUUAAAAUAAGAGUUAUAUUACGUUAAGGUCUUGUAUAUUUCAUUUUUCUUUCACUAAUGUAAGUGACUAUUUAUAAUUUAGGCCUUAACUCUGCAGAUAAAAAAACUAACUAAUGUAUAUAUAUAACAAGAGAAACCUAAUGUUUUGAUUAUGUCUCUCCUAUGCAUAAUCAUAGGGCUUCGUGCCCCCAUUGAUGUUGCAUAUUAAAGUAGAAAAAAACUUUAAAAUCCUAUCGUUUCUUCUUUCUUCUCUCCUUCCUAUCCUUUCUUCUUCUUCCUCCUUCUCUUUCUCCUUGGCGGGAGGUUGCAAAUGGAUGGCAUGGCGUAAGAAGAAGCUUCCAACAUGGGGCACGAGAUGAAGCUUCUAAUGUGGUUCUUUUAUUGGUUGUUCAUCCAAUCGAUGACACGAGUUCUGUACAAGAUGAAGAUAGGGAGAGAUGGAAAGUGUUUGGAUGCAAACAAAUGAAUAAAUGUACAUAUGUAUACAUAUUUAGUUGUUUAUCUUACGUAAGUGAUGUUUGUUUUUGUAUUUACUUUUAUGAUAUAUGCAGUUAUAUGUAACAUCUCUUGUGAUUUAUACACAAUGGUAGACAUUUUUCUUAUA